AAAGCACUCUGAAAAGAGAGUUCACAAGUGCGUGAAACUGCACACUGCAAAGCGAAUGACUGGACAUCAUUAAGUGCGAUCUGCCAUGCGUCUAGCACUAGGUACGUGAGAAAAGCGGUGUUCUACUCAUGUUCUGUAUCCCUCACGAGGUACCUUGGUGCAAAUAUGUGCAUCUGAUUGUGUCUUCGGCUGCUCGCUGGGUUGGCAAGAGUGAUGGUCGCUGCCGAACGAGAGUUCCGUCAAGGGGCUCUCUGUACUAGUGGCGUACAUAGUGGCUAAUUGCGCACUGCGGUGUGCUUUGGUUGUGUAUCAGGCCGACCUGGUUGCGAAAAAGCCUACCUUUGACCGUCGGUUUCCGAAUUAUGGCAGCAUCCGCUGGUAAAGUGGUUGGUGAAGCCGGUCAUGUGGUGUGCUGGCGCGAGAGCGGCAAUCGAAGAAGGCAGCCAAUGGCUUGUGCAGCAUUCGAACCGUCUUGAAACCCGGACUAAGGAGUUCAACUUAAACGCAAGUCGUUUUUCGCUGAGAAUAUUAAAGGCAAAGUGAAAUUGACUUUGUAACUGAGAGAUGUUAACUGAUGGGUACGAACGAGUACAUUUAAUGGUAAGCACGCGUGAUGAGUAGCACAAUUGUUAUUGUUGCUGACUGCGCCUGAGCGUUCAGGUUGAGACCCGAAAGAUGGUGAACUAUGCCUGAGUAGGACGAAGCCAGGAGAAAUUCUGGUGGAAGUUCGUAGCGGUUUUGACGUGCAAAUCAAUCGCAAAACUUGGGUAUAGGGGCGAAAGACUAAUCGAACCAUCUAGUAGCUGGUUCCCUCCGAAGUUUCCCUCAGGAAAGCUGGCGUGUACGUAAUAGUUUUACCUGGUAAAGCUAAUGACUGGAGGGAUCGGAGCUGUUAUAUCUUUGACCUACUCUCAAACUUAAAACGGAUAAGAACUUACUUGCUCCUUCAGUGAGCAGUAAGACCGAAUAGAAAGCGCCAAGUGGGCCAUUUUUGGUAAGCAGAACUGGCGCUGUGGGAUGAACUGAACGGCGAGCUAAGGUGCCAUACACACUUCUCAAGAGACGCCAUGAAAGGUGUUAGUUGAUAUUGACAGCAGGACGGUGGCCAUGGAAGUCGGCAUCUGCUAAGGAGUGUGUAACUACUCACCUGCCGAAUCAACUAGCCCUGAAAAUGGAUGGCGCUAUAGACGUGGACCUAUGCUCGCCCGUUGAGAUUUCCUGUGUGCCCGUGCACAGGUUGAAAAAAGCUCUCAAUGUGUAGGAGGGCAGAGACGUUAACUUUGAAGCCCACAAUGUGAAUUGGCGUGAAGUUGGC
rnacentral:rRNA from 1 species